rnacentral:rRNA from 1 species
UACAGAGGCCUCGAGCGUUAGGCGGAAUUACUGGGCGUAAAGGGCGCGUAGGCGGCCGCCUAAGUCAGACGUGAAAUCCCUCGGCUCAACCGGGGAACUGCGUCUGAUACUGGGUGGCUUGAAUUCGGGAGAGGGAUGCGGAAUUCCAGGUGUAGCGGUGAAAUGCGUAGAUAUCUGGAGGAACACCGGUGGCGAAGGCGGCAUCCUGGACCGAGAUUGACGCUGAGGAGCGAAAGCGUGGGGAGCGAACAGG